ACGUACACUCCUACGGGAGGCAGCAGUGGGGAAUAUUGCACAAUGGGCGCAAGCCUGAUGCAGCCAUGCCGCGUGUAUGAAGAAGGCCUUCGGGUUGUAAAGUACUUUCAGCGGGGAGGAAGGCGAUAAGGUUAAUAACCUUGUUGAUUGACGUUACCCGCAGAAGAAGCACCGGCUAACUCCGUGCCAGCAGCCGCGGUAAUACGGAGGGUGCAAGCGUUAAUCGGAAUUACUGGGCGUAAAGCGCACGCAGGCGGUCUGUCAAGUCGGAUGUGAAAUCCCCGGGCUCAACCUGGGAACUGCAUUCGAAACUGGCAGGCUAGAGUCUUGUAGAGGGGGGUAGAAUUCCAGGUGUAGCGGUGAAAUGCGUAGAGAUCUGGAGGAAUACCGGUGGCGAAGGCGGCCCCCUGGACAAAGACUGACGCUCAGGUGCGAAAGCGUGGGGAGCAAACAGGAUUAGAUACCCUUGUAGUCCCAU
rnacentral:rRNA from 1 species